rnacentral:rRNA from 1 species
GAUGAACGCUGGCGGCGUGCCUAAUACAUGCAAGUCGAGCGAACAGACGAGGAGCUUGCUCCUCUGACGUUAGCGGCGGACGGGUGAGUAACACGUGGAUAACCUACCUAUAAGACUGGGAUAACUUCGGGAAACCGGAGCUAAUACCGGAUAAUAUAUUGAACCGCAUGGUUCAAUAGUGAAAGACGGUUUUGCUGUCACUUAUCGAUGGAUCCGCGCCGCAUUAGCUAGUUGGUAAGGUAACGGCUUACCAAGGCAACGAUGCGUAGCCGACCGGAGAGGGUGAUCGGCCACACUGGAACUGAGACACGGUCCAGACUCCUACGGGAGGCAGCAGUAGGGAAUCUUCCGCAAUGGGCGAAAGCUUGACGGAGCAACGCCGCGUGAGUGAUGAAGGUCUUCGGAUCGUAAAACUCUGUUAUUAGGGAAGAACAAAUGUGUAAGUAACUAUGCACGUCUUGACGGUACCUAAUCAGAAAGCCACGGCUAACUACGUG